CUGCCCCUGUCAGGGGGACAACCCGCCGAAAGGCGGGCUAAACCCGCGUACAUGCCACCGGGGCAUCCCGGAGGCAGGAAAGGCUUCGGCCGGACAGGGAUGGGCAUGCGGCGCAUUAGGCAGUAGGCGGGGUAACGGCCCACCUAACCGACGAUGCGUAGGGGUUCUGAGAGGAAGGUCCCCCACACUGGUACUGAGACACGGACCAGACUCCUACGGGAGGCAGCAGUGAGGAAUAUUGGUCAAUGGUCGGGAGACUGAACCAGCCAAGCCGCGUGAGGGAUGAAGGUACAGAGUAUCGUAAACCUCUUUUGUCAGGGAACAAAGGCGGGGACGUGUCCCCGGAUGAGUGUACCUGAAGAAAAAGCAUCGGCUAAUUCCGUGCCAGCAGCCGCGGUAAUACGGAGGAUGCGAGCGUUAUCCGGAUUUAUUGGGUUUAAAGGGUGCGCAGGCGGUCUGUUAAGUCAGCGGUCAAAGCCCGGGGCUCAACCCCGGCCCGCCGUUGAAACUGGCAGUCUCGAGUUGGAGAGGAGUAUGCGGAAUGCGCGGUGUAGCGGUGAAAUGCAUAGAUAUCGCGCAGAACUCCGAUUGCGAAGGCAGCAUGCCGGCUCCACACUGACGCUGAGGCACGAAAGCGUGGGUAUCGAACAGGAUUAGAUACCCUGGUAGUCCACGCAGUAAACGAUGA
rnacentral:rRNA from 1 species